UCUUCUGUGUGUCUUACGUAAUCCAUGCUGGCUCUACGAGUAAGCAACCAUGUCUAAGGGACCUGCGGUUGGUAUUGAUCUUGGCACCACCUACUCUUGUGUGGGUGUCUUCCAGCAUGGAAAAGUAUAGAUAAUUGCUAAUGAUCAGGGAAAUCAAACCACUCCAAGUUAUGUUGCCUUUACUGACACUGAACGAUUGAUUGGUGAUGCUGCAAAAAAUCUAGUUGCAAUGAACCCCACAAACACAGUUUUUGAUGCCAAGCGUCUGGUUAGAUGCAGGUUUGAUGAUGCUGUUGUCCAGUCUGAUAUGAAGCAUUGGCCUUUGGUGGUGGUGAAUGAUGCAGGCAGGCCCAAGGUCCAAGUAGAAUAUAAAGGAGAGACAAGAAGUUUCUAUCCAGAGGAAGUGUCAUCUAUGGUUCUGACAAAGAUGAAGGAAAUUGCAGAAGCCUAUCUGGGAAAGACUGUUACCAGUGCUGUGGUCACAGUACCAGCUUACUUCAAUGAUUCUCAGUGUCAGGCUACCAAAGAUGCUGGAACUAUUGCUGGUCUCAAUGUUCUUAGGAUUAUAAAUGAGCCAACUGCUGCUGCUGUUGCUUAUGGCUUAGACAAAAAGGUUGGAGCUGAAAGAAAUGUGCUAAUCUUUGACCUUGGAGGUGGCACUUUUGAUGUGUCAAUCCUCACUAUUGAGGAUGGAAUCUUUCAGGUCAAAUCUACAGCUGGAGAUACUCACCCGGGUGGCGAAGACUUUGACAACCGAAUGGUCAACCAUUUUAUUGCUGAGUUUAAGUACAAACAUAAGAAGGACAUCAGUGAGAAUAAAAGAGCUGUCCGUCGCCUCCGUACCGCUUGUGAACAUGCUAAGCGUACUCUAUCUUCCAGCAUCCAGGCCAGUAUUGAGAUUGAUUCCCUUUAUGAAGGAAUCGACUUCUAUACCUCCAUUACCUGUGCCCGAUUUGAAGAAUUGAAUGCUGAUCUUUUCUGUGGCACCCUGGACCCUGUAGAGAAAGCCCUUCGAGAUGCCAAACUAGACAAGUCACAGAUCUAUGACAUUGUCCUGGUUGGUGGUUCUACCCGUAUUCCCAAGAUUCAAAAGCUUCUCCAAGACUUCUUCAAUGGAAAAUAACUGAAUAAGAGCAUCAACCCUGAUGAGGCUGUUGCUUAUGGUGCAACUGUCCAGGUGGCCAUCUUAUCUGGUGACAAAUCCGAGAAUGUUCAGGAUUUGCUACUAUUGGAUGUCACUCCUCUUUCUCUGGCUAUUGAGACUGCUGGGGGAGUUAUGACUGUGCUCAUUAAGUGCAAUACUACUAUUCCAACCAAGCAGACACAGACCUUCACUACCUACUCUGACAACCAGCCAGGUGUUCUCAUCCAGGUUUAUGAAGGUGAGCGUGCCAUGACCAAAGAUAACAACUUGCUUGGCAAGUUUGAACUUACAGGCAUACCUCCUGCUCCCCGUGGUGUUCCUCAGAUUGA